CUCAGGAUGAACGCUAGCUACAGGCUUAACACAUGCAAGUCGAGGGGCAGCAUGGUCUUAGCUUGCUAAGGCCGAUGGCGACCGGCGCACGGGUGAGUAACACGUAUCCAACCUGCCGUCUACUCUUGGACAGCCUUCUGAAAGGAAGAUUAAUACAAGAUGGCAUCAUGAGUCCGCAUGUUCACAUGAUUAAAGGUAUUCCGGUAGACGAUGGGGAUGCGUUCCAUUAGAUAGUAGGCGGGGUAACGGCCCACCUAGUCUUCGAUGGAUAGGGGUUCUGAGAGGAAGGUCCCCCACAUUGGAACUGAGACACGGUCCAAACUCCUACGGGAGGCAGCAGUGAGGAAUAUUGGUCAAUGGGCGAGAGCCUGAACCAGCCAAGUAGCGUGAAGGAUGACUGCCCUAUGGGUUGUAAACUUCUUUUAUAAAGGAAUAAAGUCGGGUAUGGAUACCCGUUUGCAUGUACUUUAUGAAUAAGGAUCGGCUAACUCCGUGCCAGCAGCCGCGGUAAUACGGAGGAUCCGAGCGUUAUCCGGAUUUAUUGGGUUUAAAGGGAGCGUAGGUGGAUGUUUAAGUCAGUUGUGAAAGUUUGCGGCUCAACCGUAAAAUUGCAGUUGAUACUGGAUAUCUUGAGUGCAGUUGAGGCAGGCGGAAUUCGUGGUGUAGCGGUGAAAUGCUUAGAUAUCACGAAGAACUCCGAUUGCGAAGGCAGCCUGCUAAGCUGCAACUGACAUUGAGGCUCGAAAGUGUGGGUAUCAAACAGGAUUAGAUACCCUGGUAGUCCACACGGUAAACGAUGAAUACUCGCUGUUUGCGAUAUACUGCAAGCGGCCAAGCGAAAGCGUUAAGUAUUCCACCUGGGGAGUACGCCGGCAACGGUGAAACUCAAAGGAAUUGACGGGGGCCCGCACAAGCGGAGGAACAUGUGGUUUAAUUCGAUGAUACGCGAGGAACCUUACCCGGGCUUAAAUUGCAGAUGAAUUACGGUGAAAGCCGUAAGCCGCAAGGCAUCUGUGAAGGUGCUGCAUGGUUGUCGUCAGCUCGUGCCGUGAGGUGUCGGCUUAAGUGCCAUAACGAGCGCAACCCUUGUUGUCAGUUACUAACAGGUUCCGCUGAGGACUCUGACAAGACUGCCAUCGUAAGAUGUGAGGAAGGUGGGGAUGACGUCAAAUCAGCACGGCCCUUACGUCCGGGGCUACACACGUGUUACAAUGGGGGGUACAGAGGGCCGCUACCACGCGAGUGGAUGCCAAUCCCCAAAACCUCUCUCAGUUCGGACUGGAGUCUGCAACCCGACUCCACGAAGCUGGAUUCGCUAGUAAUCGCGCAUCAGCCACGGCGCGGUGAAUACGUUCCCGGGCCUUGUACACACCGCCCGUCAAGCCAUGGGAGCCGGGGGUACCUGAAGUGCGUAACCGCGAGGAGCGCCCUAGGGUAAAAC
rnacentral:rRNA from 1 species